CACUGUUUGAUCAUUGAGUUGAGUGAUAAAAAUAACAAAUAUGUUGCUGACAAGACUACGGUGUUUGAGCUACAUUGAGGCGAGACAACUUAUCCAUACGAACCGUUUGAAUAAUGUCAACCAAUUCAAAAUAAAUAAUGGGGCAAGUAUUCUGCGUUCAUCAAACCAAAAUCCAAAUCUUACGGCAAUGAGACAUUAUUAUAAAAACUAUGACCAUCAUCCAUCAAAAAUUGUACGCGCAUAUCGACACACACGUACCUGGUUAACAGAACAUUUUGUUUUUGGCGAGAGACGCAUGGAAAAUAUUUACUCAGCUUCAUUCUUACUUGCAAUGAUAAUCUUCUUUUUUAUCAUCGUUUAUCUAAAUUUGGAAUUGGGAAAUGAAGGACUUGACGUAAACAGAACUAAAACAGAAAUACCGAAGUAAAAUAUUCAAUCUAGUUUGUGCAUAGCAAAAUCUUUAAUAAAUAUGUAUAUUUAUGAAAAAGUC